rnacentral:rRNA from 1 species
ACAUCCAGAGAAUUUAGCAGAGAUGCUUUAGUGCCUUCGGGAACUCUGAGACAGGUGCUGCAUGGCUGUCGUCAGCUCGUGUUGUGAAAUGUUGGGUUAAGUCCCGCAACGAGCGCAACCCUUAUCCUUUGUUGCCAGCACGUAAUGGUGGGAACUCAAAGGAGACUGCCGGUGAUAAACCGGAGGAAGGUGGGGAUGACGUCAAGUCAUCAUGGCCCUUACGAGUAGGGCUACACACGUGCUACAAUGGCGCAUACAAAGAGAAGCGACCUCACGAGAGCAAGCGGACCUCAUAAAGUGCGUCGUAGUCCGGAUUGGAGUCUGCAACUCGACUCCAUGAAGUCGGAAUCGCUAGUAAUCGUAAAUCAGAAUGUUACGGUGAAUACGUUCCCGGGCCUUGUACACACCGCCCGUCACACCAUGGGAGUGGGUUGCAAAAGAAGUAGAUAGCUUAACCUUCGGGAGGGCGUUUACCACUUUGUGAUUCAUGACUGGGGUGAAGUCGUAACAAGGUAAGCGUAGUGCU